UACGUAGGGGGCAAGCGUUGUCCGGAAUCAUUGGGCGUAAAGCGCGUGUAGGCGGCUCGGUAAGUCCGCUCUGAAAGUCCAAGGCUCAACCUUGGGAUGCGGGUGGAUACUGCCGGGCUCGAGUCCGGAAGAGGCGAGUGGAAUUCCUGGUGUAGCGGUGAAAUGCGCAGAUAUCAGGAGGAACACCAAUGGCGAAGGCAGCUCGCUGGGACGUGACUGACGCUGAGACGCGAAAGCGUGGGGAGCGAACAGG
rnacentral:rRNA from 1 species